AUUGAACGCUGGCGGCAGGCCUAACACAUGCAAGUCGAGCGGAUGAAGGGAGCUUGCUCCUGGAUUCAGCGGCGGACGGGUGAGUAAUGCCUAGGAAUCUGCCUGGUAGUGGGGGAUAACGUCCGGAAACGGGCGCUAAUACCGCAUACGUCCUGAGGGAGAAAGUGGGGGAUCUUCGGACCUCACGCUAUCAGAUGAGCCUAGGUCGGAUUAGCUAGUUGGUGGGGUAAAGGCCUACCAAGGCGACGAUCCGUAACUGGUCUGCGAGGAUGAUCAGUCACACUGGAACUGAGACACGGUCCAGACUCCUAAGGGAGGCAGCAGUGGGGAAUAUUGGACAAUGGGCGAAAGCCUGAUCCAGCCAUGCCGCGUGUGUGAAGAAGGUCUUCGGAUUGUAAAGCACUUUAAGUUGGGAGGAAGGGCAGUAAGUUAAUACCUUGCUGUUUUGACGUUACCAACAGAAUAAGCACCGGCUAACUUCGUG
rnacentral:rRNA from 1 species